UACGUAGGGUGCGAGCGUUAAUCGGAAUUACUGGGCGUAAAGCGUGCGCAGGCGGUCUGUUAAGACCGAUGUGAAAUCCCCGAGCUUAACUUGGGAAUUGCGCUUGUGACUGGCGUGCUGGAGUGUGGCAGAGGGAGGUGGAAUUCCACGUGUAGCAGUGAAAUGCGUAGAGAUGUGGAGGAACACCGAUGGCGAAGGCAGCCUCCUGGGCCAGCACUGACGCUCAUGCACGAAAGCGUGGGGAGCAAACAGG
rnacentral:rRNA from 1 species